GCGGGCGUGGCGCAAUUGGUAGCGCAUCAGCUUCCCAAGCUGGGUGUUGCGGGUUCGAAUCCCGUCGCCCGCUCCA
rnacentral:tRNA from 1 species